rnacentral:rRNA from 1 species
GGACAUUACCGAGUUAUACAACUCCCAAACCCACUGUGAACCUUACCUCAGUUGCCUCGGCGGGAACGCCCCGGCCGCCGGCCCCCGCGCCGGCGCCGGACCCAGGCGCCCGCCGCAGGGACCCCAAACUCUCUUGCAUUACGCCCAGCGGGCGGAAUUUCUUCUCUGAGUUGCACAAGCAAAAACAAAUGAAUCAAAACUUUCAACAACGGAUCUCUUGGUUCUGGCAUCGAUGAAGAACGCAGCGAAAUGCGAUAAGUAAUGUGAAUUGCAGAAUUCAGUGAAUCAUCGAAUCUUUGAACGCACAUUGCGCCCGCCAGCAUUCUGGCGGGCAUGCCUGUUCGAGCGUCAUUUCAACCCUCGAGCCCCCCCGGGGGCCUCGGUGUUGGGGGACGGCACACCAGCCGCCCCCGAAAUGCAGUGGCGACCCCGCCGCAGCCUCCCCUGCGUAGUAGCACACACCUCGCACCGGAGCGCGGAGGCGGUCACGCCGUAAAACGCCCAACUUUCUUAGAGUGACCUCGGAUCAGGUAGGAAUACCCGCUGAACUUAAGCAUAUCAAUAAGCGGAGGAAAAGAAACCAACAGGGAUUGCCCCAGUAACGGCGAGUGAAGCGGCAACAGCUCAAAUUUGAAAUCUGGCCCCCAGGGCCCGAGUUGUAAUUUGCAGAGGAUGCUUUUGGCGCGGUGCCUUCCGAGUUCCCUGGAACGGGACGCCAUAGAGGGUGAGAGCCCCGUCUGGUCGGACGCCUAGCCUGUGUAAAGCUCCU